rnacentral:rRNA from 1 species
AGUGAACGCUGGCGGUAGGCCUAACACAUGCAAGUCGAACGGCAGCACAGUAAGAGCUUGCUCUUACGGGUGGCGAGUGGCGGACGGGUGAGGAAUACAUCGGAAUCUACUUUUUCGUGGGGGAUAACGUAGGGAAGCUUACGCUAAUACCGCAUACGACCUACGGGUGAAAGCAGGGGAUCUUCGGACCUUGCGCGAUUGAAUGAGCCGAUGUCGGAUUAGCUAGUUGGCGGGGUAAAGGCCCACCAAGGCGACGAUCCGUAGCUGGUCUGAGAGGAUGAUCAGCCACACUGGAACUGAGACACGGUCCAGACUCCUACGGGAGGCAGCAGUGGGGAAUAUUGGACAAUGGGCGCAAGCCUGGUCCAGCCAUACCGCGUGGGUGAAGAAGGCCUUCGGGUUGUAAAGCCCUUUUGUUGGGAAAGAAAGGCAGCAGGUUAAUACCCCGCUGUUCUGACGGUACCCAAAGAAUAAGCACCGGCCAACUUCGUG